AUUAUAACGCUGUGGUCAGUAAAGAUACUUGAUAUUAUCUUAAUCUUUUAAAAUUUGUUAAGACUUGUUUUGUGGCCUAACAUGUGAUCUCUCCUCAAGAAUGUUCCAUGUGCAUUUGAGAAGAAUGUGUAUCUGCAGCUGUUGGACGGAAUGUUCUGUGAUUCUAAGUAUGACUUGCUAUGUAAAGAAGAAUUUAUUGAACUCAAAGACAUAUUCUCUGUGAAACUGAAACGGCGUUGUUCUGUUAAACAGCAGAGAAGUGGUACUUUAUUAGGUAUCACACUCUUCAUCUGCUUGAAAAAGGAACAAAAUAAACUAAAGAAUUCUACACUUGAUCUUAUUAAUUUAAGUGAAGACCACUGUGACAUAUGGUUUAGACAGUUCAAGAAAAUAUUGGCAGGCUUUCCAAACAGACCGAAGUCAUUAAAAAUACUCCUUAACCCCCAAAGUCACAAAAAAGAAGCUACCCAGGUUUAUUAUGAGAAGGUUGAACCUCUGUUGAAGCUUGCAGGAAUAAAAACUGAUGUAACAAUAAUGGAAUAUGAAGGGCACGCUCUGUCACUGCUUAAGGAAUGUGAACUCCAGGGAUUUGAUGG
rnacentral:lncRNA from 1 species